rfam:Trichobilharzia regenti genome assembly, scaffold: TRE_scaffold0007683
GUACUGAUGAAGAGCUCCAAACUAGGACGAAACAGCUGUCCAGUAC